GACGAACGCUGGCGGCGUGCUUAACACAUGCCAGUCGAACGGAAAGGCCCUGCUUUUGUGGGGUGCUCGAGUGGCGAACGGGUGAGUAACACGUGAGUAACCUGCCCUUGACUUUGGGAUAACUUCAGGAAACUGGGGCUAAUACCGGAUAGGAGCUCCUGCUGCAUGGUGGGGGUUGGAAAGUUUCGGCGGUUGGGGAUGGACUCGCGGCUUAUCAGCUUGUUGGUGGGGUAGUGGCUUACCAAGGCUUUGACGGGUAGCCGGCCUGAGAGGGUGACCGGCCACAUUGGGACGGAGAUACGGCCCAGACUCCUACGGGAGGAAGCAGUGGGGAAUAUUGCAAAAUGGGCGGAAGCCUGAUGCAGCAACGCCGCGUGCGGGAUGACGGCCUUCGGGUUGUAAACCGCUUUCGCCUGUGACGAAGCGUGAGUGACGGUAAUGGGUAAAGAAGCACCGGCUAACUACGUG
rnacentral:rRNA from 1 species